UACGUAGGGGGCAAGCGUUGUCCGGAUUUAUUGGGCGUAAAGCGCGUGUAGGUGGCCAAGUAGGUCAGCUGUGAAAACUUGAGGCUCAACCUCAAGCUGUCGGUUGAAACCACUUGGCUAGAGUCCGGAAGAGGAGAGUGGAAUUCCUGGUGUAGCGGUGAAAUGCGCAGAUAUCAGGAAGAACACCAAUGGCGAAGGCAGCUCUCUGGGACGGUACUGACACUGAGACGCGAAAGCGUGGGGAGCGAACAGG
rnacentral:rRNA from 1 species